CUCUGAUACUAUGAUUGACUUUCAUAAGCUUUUUAGAUCUCUGAGACUGAAGGAAUUCUUUGGUACAACUGAAAUAUCUACUCUCUCUGAUGAUGCUCCUUCUCGCAGUGUCAAUUCUAAUUCAUCCAGUCAUCGUCUUCCUUUUAAAAAGAAGUUGAACUUUAUUCCACCUCUUAACAGGAAUGCAUCUUUAAACACUUUCUGCAGGUUAGUUGAAGCUGAUGUUAAGACUUUGUUAAACAAACAAAGAUAACCCUGUGAAGCAUUUAAUAACUUUUAGAAAGCGGAGAGGAAUGCUUUCAUUUAUUUUAAAAGAGAUUCUGAUGUGGUUUUGUUCCCUGCUUUGGGCUAUAGUGCUUCAACAAGCUACAGA